rnacentral:rRNA from 1 species
UACGUAGGGUGCGAGCGUUGUCCGGAAUUAUUGGGCGUAAAGGGCUCGUAGGCGGUUUGUCGCGUCGGGAGUGAAAUCCACUGGCUUAACUGGUGGCUUGCUUUCGAUACGGGCAGACUGGAGGUAUGCAGGGGAGAACGGAAUUCCUGGUGUAGCGGUGAAAUGCGCAGAUAUCAGGAGGAACACCGGUGGUGAAGGCGGUUCUCUGGGCAUGUCCUGACGCUGAGGAGCGAAAGUGUGGGGAGCGAACAGG